rnacentral:rRNA from 1 species
AGUGAACGCUGGCGGUAGGCCUAACACAUGCAAGUCGAACGGCAGCACAGUAAGAGCUUGCUCUUACGGGUGGCGAGUGGCGGACGGGUGAGGAAUACAUCGGAAUCUACUUAUUCGUGGGGGAUAACGUAGGGAAACUUACGCUAAUACCGCAUACGACCUACGGGUGAAAGCAGGGGAUCUUCGGACCUUGCGCGUUUGAAUGAGCCGAUGUCGGAUUAGCUAGUUGGCGGGGUAAAGGCCCACCAAGGCGACGAUCCGUAGCUGGUCUGAGAGGAUGAUCAGCCACACUGGAACUGAGACACGGUCCAGACUCCUACGGGAGGCAGCAGUGGGGAAUAUUGGACAAUGGGCGCAAGCCUGAUCCAGCCAUACCGCGUGGGUGAAGAAGGCCUUCGGGUUGUAAAGCCCUUUUGUUGGGAAAGAAAAGCAGCAGGUUAAUACCCCGCUGUUCUGACGGUACCCAAAGAAUAAGCACCGGCUAACUUCGUG